AGAGUUUGAUCAUGGCUCAGAACGAACGCUGGCGGCGUGGUUUAGGCAUGCAAGUCGAACGAGAAAGUUCCCUUCGGGGUGCGAGUAAAGUGGCGAAAGGGUGAGUAAUAUAUGGAUGACUUACCCUCGAGACGGGGAUAACAGCUCGAAAGGGCUGAUAAUACCCGAUGGUUUCGGCAGCUUGAGGGUUGCCGGAUAAAUGGUGAUUCCGCUCGAGGAGAGGUCCAUGUCCUAUCAGCUAGUUGGUGAGGUAAUGGCUCACCAAGGCUAUAACGGGUAGCCGGACUGAGAGGUUGGCCGGUCACACUGGGACUGAGACACUGCCCAGACUCCUACGGGAGGCAGCAGUGGGGAAUAUUGGACAAUGGGCGAAAGCCUGAUCCAGCAAUGCCGCGUGUGUGAAGAAGGCCUGCGGGUUGUAAAGCACUUUCAGUUGGGAGGAAAAGCAGUGGGCCAAUACCCUGCUGUCUUGACGUAACCAACAGAAGAAGCACCGGCUAACUACGUGCCAGCAGCCGCGGUAAUACGUAGGGUGCGAGCGUUAAUCGGAAUUACUGGGCGUAAAGCGUGCGCAGGCGGUUUUGUAAGCCAGAUGUGAAAUCCCCGGGCUUAACCUGGGAAUGGCAUUUGGGACUGCAAGGCUUGAGUAUGGCAGAGGGGACUAGAAUUCCUGGUGUAGCAGUGAAAUGCGUAGAUAUCAGGAGGAAUACCGAUGGCGAAGGCAGGUCCCUGGGUUAAUACUGACGCUCAUGCACGAAAGCGUGGGGAGCAAACAGGAUUAGAUACCCUGGUAGUCCACGCCCUAAACGAUGUCAACUGGUUGUUGGGGGUUUGACACUCUCAGUAACGAAGCUAACGCGUGAAGUUGACCGCCUGGGGAGUACGGCCGCAAGGUUAAAACUCAAAGGAAUUGACGG
rnacentral:rRNA from 1 species